rnacentral:rRNA from 1 species
UAGGGAAUAUUAGAAAUGGCCGAAAGUCUGAUCUAGCAACACCGCGUGUGCGAAGAAGGCCUUCGGGUCGUAAAGCACUUUUUGGAAGGAAUAGGAAGGAAUGUACUUCCAGAAUAAGUCUCGGCUAACUACGUGCCAGCAGCCGCGGUAACACGUAGGAGGCAAACGUUAUCCGGAUUUACUGGGCGUAAAGCGCGUGUAGGUGGUUCUGUAAGUAGGGCGUGAAAGCUCCCGGCUCAACUGGGAGAGGCCGUUCUAAACUGCAGAGCUAGAGGAUGGUAGAGGGAGGUGGAAUUCCAGGUGUAGCGGUGGAAUGCGCAGAUAUCUGGAGGAACACCAGUGGCGAAGGCGGCCUCCUGGACCAUUCCUGACACUCAGACGCGAAAGCUAGGGUAGCAAACGG